UUCUUUGCUGACGAGUGGCGGACGGGUGAGUAAUGUCUGGGAAACUGCCUGAUGGAGGGGGAUAACUACUGGAAACGGUAGCUAAUACCGCAUAACGUCGCAAGACCAAAGAGGGGGACCUUCGGGCCUCUUGCCAUCGGAUGUGCCCAGAUGGGAUUAGCUAGUAGGUGGGGUAACGGCUCACCUAGGCGACGAUCCCUAGCUGGUCUGAGAGGAUGACCAGCCACACUGGAACUGAGACACGGUCCAGACUCCUACGGGAGGCAGCAGUGGGGAAUAUUGCACAAUGGGCGCAAGCCUGAUGCAGCCAUGCCGCGUGUAUGAAGAAGGCCUUCGGGUUGUAAAGUACUUUCAGCGGGGAGGAAGGGAGUAAAGU
rnacentral:rRNA from 1 species